UAGGCUGAAAAAAAAGGAAAAUUAAAUUAAAUUAAUAAAGUUUGAAAAAAAAAGAUAAAUAUAUUUACAACGGAUUAGGAACUGAAGGAAAGGAGAGAAAAGUUAGUGGGUAGUAAAAAUAGCGACGUCUCAUCCCCCCCCAUAGUAGAAAAUUGUGAAGGAAGCUGAAAUAAUAAAAUAUAAAUAGAAAAGAAGUUAGGGUAUGCAAAAGAGUGAAAGGGAGAGAAUACAAAUCGGAAGAAAACUGAGGAGAAGUUUGGAGUUCAUCCGGAAUAGGGUACCAGCAAGUAUGACCCCGGCAAAAACGCGAUCACAAAGCAACCAAGAGGAGAAAUUGGAGAACGUAUCGGCACCCGAAGGUAUGGAAUCGAUAAGGGAUCAGACUCAGGAAGGAAUGGGAAGUGGAAGUCCUGGAGAAGCAAGCGGUCACCAAUCGGUAGGCGGAACCGGGGCCAUACCGAAGGCUCUCCCCUCGGAGAUAACGUCAGGAGUCAAUGCAGCAUUGUUUCAGGCACAUCAGACGUACCAGGUGGGAAUGUCAUCAGAGUACGAUGCGUUCAAACGGCAGAUGCAGCAGGAUAUGAUGCAGUUCAUGAAGGACAUCAACGACUGCAUGGCGGAGUUUCGCCGAGAUGUCUUGAAACAGAACGCAGCGGUGCAGGCAUCUACGCAGGUUCGGCAGGCUCAACUGCAACAAGUCACACAGGGACAAUGUCAAGUUUCGGGUACGCAGAUGCAGCCACUGUUAGGGGUAGCAACACAGACGCUGUUAAAUCCAUUGCCACCUUUCGACCCGAGGAUGCUACAGCAACCUCCACCAAACAUGGUGCCGGGGUUACGACACCAAAUGGGAUUCCCGCCGCCAAACUCUGGGGCGUUAUCCGAAAAGCAGGAGGUGAAUCGGCACGCUUCAGAAGGGUUUCGGCAAACCGCCUGGUCGACGGAGCAUGAGCAAAGAAGAGGGAAUGGGUCUCACCCGACACCGCCAGAAUAUCCUAGUGGAAACGGGGGGACACAGCAAAACGCCAAUCCAGGACAGGAUCCGCGACGAACAAGCGGGGCAACAGGUGAUUCCGUGUUUCAUGUAGGUCAGCUGCGUAAGUGGGGGCUUAGUUUCGACGGAAGUCCAAGGAGUAUGCCAGUGUCUGAAUUUAUUUUCCGCCUCGAGCAUCUCCAGCGAUCGUAUCAGGUGCCGUGGAAGGAAGUCCUAAGGGAAUUUCACGUAUUAGUGGAAGGACAAGCCAAGGAAUGGUACUGGAUGUACGUGAGAUCGACGGAGAAGCAAGAGUGGCCUUACCUGAGAUAUGCACUACAGCAGCAGUUCCAGAGUCACCGAUCCAAUUUCGAGCGAGAGUACGAGCUAAGAGAACGGAAGCAGAAGCCAGGAGAAACCAUAGAAGUAUACAUCCAGACCAUGCUCGCUCUCCGAUCGCGACUAGAGAUGCCGUUUUCCGAUUUUGAUCUAAUAAAGGUGAUAAAGAUGAACAUUAGGGAUCAAAUUUCGAAAAUCAUAUACCCGAUUUAUAUUACCAACCUGGAUCAACUCCGACACGAAUGCCACGACGCGGAAAGAAUCCUGGCAACUCGAUGGACCAGACAGCCAAGCAACUUCGAAGCUCACCGGGGAUAUAAGGAUCGUCCGAGGGUAGAUGAGCUUUGUCCAGAACCAAUCGGAGACGAAAGUGAACCUGUGGAUCAGGAGGAAGUGGAAGCCUUAACGAGACACUGGGAGAACCUCAGAGAACGACCGCCACUUACCUGCUGGAAUUGUGGAACCGUUGGACAUGCAUUCAAUGCGUGUGAAUCGGAGGUGUUGAAGGUUUUCUGCUUCAAGUGUGGACUCCCAGGAGUGAGGACUCCCAGAUGCACGCGAUGCCAAACGGGAAACGGUGGGAGGAGAGUGGUCAAGAACGAGGAACCACGCUCCAAUCCGUUUGCAAUGAACAAAUGAAAUCCUCGUCAAAUUGCAUGCCUAAGGAUAAGAAUAGCUGUAAGGAAAAUAAAAUUAGUAGGAUUCUAUUAAAUAUAAAUAAACCAAGCCAUAGCAUGAAAUGGUCGGAACGUGAGCCUAUAGCAGUACGAGAAGCAAAUUACCAAGAGGUCCGAAAACGUAUAUGGGGAACACACAGCUCAGAACAGCACAUUUCUCCGAAAGUCGCAAGAGCCCGCAGAAGAGGUCAGCAGCGGAAAGCGGAAAGAAGGAUGGUGUGUUCGGCCAUCAGAGCUGCGGUGGAAGGCGAUAAUAGACCAUUCGCCCAGGUCAGGAUAGAAGACCUGGAGAUCGUGGGGCUUUUGGAUUCCGGGGCAUCAGUCAGCUUGCUCGGGGAAGGUUGCCUAGAAAUAGUGGAAAGGAUAGGACUGAGAUUAGAGAAAGCGCGAUCGAUAAUGAAAUCAGCAGGAGGUACGCAGCAUCGGGUAGUGGGAAAAAUUCAACCCAACAUCUCGUACAAUGGGAUAACACAUCGAUUGCCGAUACUCCUUUGUCCUUCCUUGAAGCAAAAAUUGUAUCUUGGGAUAGAUUUCUGGAGGAAAUUCCAACUGGCACCAGAGGUAGUGGGUGUAGAAUCCUUACACCAGGUGGAAGCCGAAGUCAUGGCCAAAGGAGAACCGAUAGAGGCACAUGUUCUAACCCCGAAACAAGCUGAACAGCUGGAAGAAGCAAAAGGACAGUUUCUGACAUACGAAAGUCAAGGAUUAGGACUCACCAAAGUGGAAGAGCACUCGAUCCAGUUAGUUGAAGGAGCCGUACCCAUCAAGGAGAGAGUCUUUCCAGUUUCUCCGGCAAAACAGCAACUACUGUUCACGGAAAUCGAUGAGAUGCUGCGACUAGGAGUCAUCGAGUUAAGUGAAAGUCCCUGGAAUAACCGAACGACACUGGUACAGAAACCUGGGAAGAAUAGACUGUGUUUAGACGCGAGAAAAUUAAAUACACUUACAGUGAAGGAUGCUUACCCAUUGCAGAACAUUGAGUCGAUCUUGAGCCGAGUAGAUGAGACGAUUUUCAUCAGCAGCAUCGACCUGAAGCACGCCUUCUGGCAAGUCGAACUCGAUGAAAAAAGUCGUCCCUUAACUGCUUUCACCAUACCCGGAAGGCCACUGUAUCAGUUUCGACGGAUGCCAUUCGGCCUGUGUAAUUCGGCUCAAAGGUUGUGCAGAGUAAUGGAUAAGGUAAUCCCACAGCGUCUCCGCAGCCACGUCUUCGUUUACUUGGAUGACUUGCUGAUGAUAUCCAAAACAUUCGAUGAACACUGCAUUUUGCUAAAAGAAGUGGCCGAGUGUUUGAGUAAAGCAAAUUUGACGAUUGGCCUACACAAAUCAAAAUUUUGCUUCAAAUACUUGCGAUAUUUAGGAUACAUCAUCGGUGACGGGGCCUUGCGAACAGACCCGAAGAAAGUUGAAGCGAUUUUGAAAAUCGAAGUGCCCAAAAAUGCGCGACAGCUACGCAGCUUCUUAGGAACCGCAGGAUGGUAUCGCAGGUUUAUCCAGAAUUUCUCCGGACUCAGUGCGCCGCUCACCGACUGCCUGAAAAAUAAAACCAAAUUUACUUGGACGGAGGAAGCGACUAUGUCAUUUGAAAAGCUAAAGAGAGCACUGACCUGUGCGCCCGUAUUGGCUCAUCCAGACUUCGGGAAACACUUCUGGAUCCAGUGUGACGCCAGCCACGUAGGAAUUGGGGCAGUGUUGUUCCAACAGGAUAGAGAGGGAUCGGACCGACCAAUAGCUUUCUAUUCGGCGAAGCUAAGAGGAGCACAACUUAAUUACAGCGUGACAGAAAAAGAGUGCCUCGCAGCCGUAAAAGCAGUGGAAAGAUUCCGGCCGUAUGUGGAAUUGAUGCCGUUUACUAUCGUGACCGAUCAUGCAAGCCUUCAAUGGCUCAUGACACUCAAAGAUUUGAACGGAAGACUGGCGCGGUGGUCAUUAGCAUUGCAGGCAUUUGAUUUUAACAUCGAGCACCGGAAAGGGAAAGACAACAUCGUGGCGGACAUGUUAUCUCGACCGAACGAGGCCGCCGAAUUGGAGUUCUUCGAUUUUGAGACAACGGAGUUUGAGAGUCCUGAAUAUCUGGAAAGAAUUCAAUUAAUUGAAGAACAGGGAAAAGAUAAGUUUCCGGACUUACGUGUGGAAGAAGGACUUCUCUUCAAAAAGACCAAUUUUUACAGAGAAGAAAGCGACGAGUUUGAAUGGAAACUAUGGAUUCCGGAAGCUCUGACGACAACUCUAAUCCAGCAGGCUCACUACGGCGAUAUGGCAAUGCACGGAGGAAUGGGAAAGACUUUAGCGAGACUCCAACAGAUGUAUUAUUGGCCCAAAAUGGUAGUUCAAGUCCGAGAAUUCGUGGCAGCCUGUGAAAACUGCAAGGAGAACAAACACACAACGCAGAUAAAACGGCCAAUAAUGGGAAAGGAAGUGCAGACGGAUCGACCCAUGCAAAAGUUGUACCUGGAUUUCCUAGGAAAAUAUCCGCGAUCCCGCCGAGGAAAUACAAUGCUGUUCAUCGCACUAGACCAUUUAACCAAGUUUGUGUGGCUGAAAGAGAUGCCGAAAGCCACAUCAACAGCGGUGAUUCGAUUCCUGCAGGAAAAUAUAUUCACCCAAUUCGGAGUUCCAGAAACAAUACACACGGACAACGGUAGACAGUUUAUCUCCAAGGAAUUUGAGAAUAUGCUGCAAGAAUACGGAAUUACGCACUUGAAAACGGGGAGAUACGCACCACAAUCCAACGCUUCGGAGAGAGUGAAUCAAUCCGUGUUAGCAGCAAUUCGAGUGAACGUUCAGGACGACCACACACGAUGGGAUGAACACCUGGCCGAUAUACAAGCGUCACUGAGGUCAUCUGUACAUAACAGCACCGGAACGUCUCCAUACUUUGCCAUGUUUGGACAGCAUAUGUUCACACAUGGGAAAGAUUACUCGCUUGCUCGCAAACUGAAGGCUCUCAAUGAAGCGGAGAUAACCCAAUUGCCCAGAUCUGAACGACUACAGCUGUAUCGGGAGAAAAUAAAGGAAAGAAUACAUCAGGCCUACGAGAAAGCUGCCAAGACCUACAAUUUAAAAGCACGAGAAAUUCGAUACUCACCGGGACAAGAGAUUUACAAGAGGAACUUUAUACUGAGUGACUUUAGCAAGAAUCGAAACUCCAAGUUUUGCCGAAAGUACACUAAAUGCCGAGUAACUAAAGCGUUGGGAAAUUCGUUGUACGCUUUGGAAAACUUGGACGGCAAUCCUCUGGGAGUUUUCCACGCAAAGGACCUUAAGCAAUAGUGCCCGGCUAGCAAAUCACUCAUCUGGCAUGAAUCUCAGGGAUGUGGGCGAUGGCCUACGUUGGGCAGUACAACGCAUCACGGACGCACAUCCUCCACUCCUGUUCCGAGACAAGCGUCGGAACCGUAGUGUGCUUGUUAUGUGCGAACUCUAAAAAAAGGAGAAAUAUAAAAAAUUGUUUACCAAAAGCCAGAUGAUCGGUAUGUCCGAUAACCGGUCAUCGACGACUCGUGAGUCCAGGGAGUCGGGUAACUGAGUCCAAUACGGAACUGGUUCCUUAAACCGGAUGACUCCAAAUCGGAACCAAAGUUUGAACCCGAGAAAUUUUGAGUGGUUUUUGGGAUUAAGAGAGGCUUAGGAAAAAGGCAAAGGUGAAGUAAAGGGCGAAGAUCCGUGGCAGCAGGCGGUUCGAUUAGCAGCAAAAUUACGCAAUUGAAAAAAAAAAAAGAAAAACGAGUUUCUACCACAUAUUCCGGAGUGAAUAAUCCUGGACCAGGAACGAUAUUUGGGAAAAAAAAACAGGAAGAUCAGCCACCAGGAAGAAGACGACUUUUCGAGGAGAAAAAUUGGCCACUCCUUCCUGGGUGGCCACAGGUUUUUAUCCCUAAAUAUAAUUAUCAAAAAAACACAUACAACCGCCAGCAAAAAAACAAAGGAAAUGUAGCUCACAGAAAAAUAUAAAGUAAUUUAAGUCAUAUUUAUUCAACAUAUCUGUUAAUUCAUCUAAAACAUUAAUCGUCACAUGGUUGUUAAUUCGUAUUUAUUAAAUUAUUUAUUUAUGUA